GCUUCACUUUCCCCUCUUGACGGGGUCUCACCGGAUACAUGGAUACACACCCGUGGGCUGCAUGCUGGUCCCAUCAAAUGAGGUCACCUGGGACCUGAGGUCACCUUUCAUGGUUACUGCCGCUCAGGGUACCUCUUGUUUUUUUUUUUGAAACAUGGCUUAAUUUUCUGCAUAUAAAAAACUUGGUAAAUACAAGCAUGCCAUCAUAGGGUCCAAGCAUGAUUUCAAAAAUUUCGAAUUGUGAUUCUGAGAUAAGUAUGUAGUGACCACGGGUCACUGGUUCACGGAUGGCUUAUUUAACUCAGCAGCAGGGGAGCAGGAUUUUAAUUUUUAUUUAUUUGUUUUUUAGGGGAGGGAGGUAAUUAGGUUUAUUUAUUUACUUUUGGAGGAGGUACUGGGGAUUGAACCCAGGACCUCAUGCUUGCUAAACUGCUUGCUAAACUCAUGCUCUGCCACUUGCGCUACACCCUCCCCCCAGCUGGUUUAAUGAGCAUUUGCGAACAGACUGAUACAGUCAGUUGGGAAGGAGGUGCUGGGGUAAGCUUGAUACAAGAUGCAGAAUUGGGCUACGCAGCGAUGGUGUAGCUUUGGGGCCUCAGCUAUUUCUUCUUCACUUACCUUUACAUUUUUAAUUGAUAUGUUAUUCUUUUGUCUCUUGAUUCAUCAAUUUAAUUUAAUUUUGUGAACAUUUAUUACUGAAAAUUUCAAACGGACAGAAGUGGGGAGAACGGUGCAAUGAACCACCCUUCCUGUGCAAUCAUCACUCACCUGGGACCAGUCACACUCGGGCUAAUCUUGUUGUGCCUACCGGCCCCUCCCCCUGACACACACACGCGCGCACACACACACCUGCCCCAGAUGAUUCUAAAGCAAACCCAAGACAGUCUAUUAUUUCAUUCAUAAAUUUCUAGGAGAAAAAGAUACGCUUUGUCUUACCACACUGUGGUACAACUUUCUCACCUAGAAAGUGCAGAGUUGCAGGGUUGAAUCCUGUCGUGCUCCAGUUAAAAAAACAGAACCUAGCCAGGAUCUGAGCAGCCUUCGGGACCGUCAUGUGGCGGCUGUGCGUUCCCGGGAGACCGCCAGCUCCGUGAGGGCUGCGCCGACCUUGUGCACGACCGGCGGUUUCUCUGACCCCCACACCGAGGAUGCCCUGUGAGUCCUCCCCCUCUGACUCCGGAUGUCCUGAGGACAAGCCAUCCUCAGCCCCAUCACCCGAAACCAAGUCCUUUCCAAGCUGUAUCCCCACUGCCUGCCGGGCUCCUCUUCUUGCUCUAAUAAACCGAACACGCUUUCAAUGAAAGCAGCUGGAAUUCUAAUUGUUAUCUUAUUAGGACUUAACUUGUCCCCCACAUGAUUAUCCCAGCUGGCAGUUCUGGCCAUUAGGGUCACGUGAGCGGUGCUGCGAACACCCUGGAAGAUGGGAUACAGCUGGUCUGGGUGGGUAGGGCCCAGGCACUGGUUUCUUAAGGGUCCCCAUGGUUCUCACAGGCACCUUUAGGGGAGACCACUGUCCCGCCGACCCGACAAGCACUGACAGUGUCAACAGCUUAGACAGGACGGUCAGCAGAGAGAACUAUUUCACAAGCCCAAAAGUGUUAGCGUGACCCAGUUUUUCACUUUUAAGUUCAGGCAACAGCUGGGGCCAGACUAUUAAACCAGCAAGCACAGCUCAUUGAAAACCACGAGAGGUUCCCUUUCCCAGUGAGAUGGGGUGGCUCACACUGGCCUUUCCAGCUGCCUGUGUCCUGCAGAUGAUGCUUCAGAGGUCUUCAAGGCAGGCUGGCCCUGCGGAAGGGUGAAGACCACCUUUUCAUUCCUUCUACAUCUCACGAUAAAACCUGCUUUCCCAGGAGGCUCUACAGGCCAAGUGGAGGAGCUCCGUGGGGGCUCCUGGCUAUUGUGGCUUAAAUCGGACUUAGUGGGGCUUCUCACAUGCACGGGCAGGGCUGGUAGCAGAACACUAAUGACCCCAAGGUUCCCAUCCCCUGGUGGGCAUGCCCUUUAUACCCCCUACCCCCACCCCAGAUUUCCAGCAGAAACUGUGACUGUGAUGGGACAGCAUGCCUGUGAGUAGGUUACUGAUCAGUUGACCUGAAGUUAAUCAACAGGCAGAGAAUCCCGGCGAGCCUGGCCUAAUCAGUUGAGUCCUUCAAGGGACUGAGCCCUUCCUGGAGUGAGAGGUUGGAACUCUGAGGGGCCUGCAAAGGGGGCCACGUGGCAAGGGCAUGAGGGUAACCUCCAGUAGCAGAGGGUCAUCCCCAGCUGACAGCUAGAAGGACAAUGGGGACAUAGUUCUCCUGUGAUCUCUAGUAAGUACAUUCUGUCAACAACAGAGGGAUGUGUGGAUGUGGGUCUUUUCUCAGCUAAGCCUCCAGGUGAGGACACAGUCGGCUGAGAGCUUGAUGGCAACUCGGAAAUCCAGGAUCAAGCUGACAUGUGUUGAGCUCGAUGGAAACUGUGAGGGUGAGGAAGACUGAGCUGAAACGACCCACACUGGGUUCUGAAACACACCAGACAGCAAAUGGUCCCCAGCACCCACUCCCCUUCCUCCAGACCGACGUGAAAUGUCCCUGAGACCCGGGGCCUGUGCUGGGGACAGCCUGCCACAGAGUCUGCCCUCCAUCCUCGGUCGGUCAGGGCUCAGUCUGAGCUGGGACCUGCAGGCUCGUUCGUGGUAAUAGCUCAGUAAUGGCAAAGGUGAGGGGUGGCCACUGUCCCUCCAGCCUCAGUUUCCAGAAUCAGGAAGGGCUCCGGGUUCCGGUCCUUCCAGCCUAACCCAUCCAGCUGACCUACCAGGGAGCCCAUCCUUCCAGCUGCCACCUCCCCUCCACCCGUCAGCCUCCGUCCUCCUGGCUCCCCUGGGUGCUGAGGUGGGUCCAUGCCGUUGUACCCUCCCCUCCCGCAGAGCGCCCUCGCUGCCCUGUCCGCGGGGGAGCGCUGAGGUUUAAUCACACAUCAACAAGCAGUGACCGUAGACGUCUUAAAGCGAAUAUCUGCUGACUGUUUAUGAUACAACAGGCACUUUGCUAGAAAUAGUUGAGGUUGUCCAGUUAUGUCUCUGUCUAUAAAUGACAAACUAAGCUUUGGGGAGGUUGAGCAACUUGUUCAAAGGGAUGGCCGUGGAUCCAAAGAUCGUGUGGUCACGACUGACAUCUGAGACCCUCCAUGGCAAGCUUUGGACUUGGGCAAACGGGACAUCUGGGGAGACUGAAGCAGGAGCAGUUUCUCAGAGAGGGAGAGAGACAGGAGCCCGGAUGAGGGGCUGUGCCGGAAGCUGUGGGUCCCAGUUCUACGCCAGCUUGACUGCGUUCAGUUCUUGGGUGUGUGUACAGGACAUACAGGAACUGGCGCUAAUAUGAGUAGAUUUUCCUGGUAACAAAAUUGUCUUAAAUAAAAUAAGCUAAUAUGUA